AUCAUGACCGGAGUCUAAGUUGAAGGCUUAACUGAGUAAGCCACCCAGUUAAGGAAACUGAAGAAUAGAAAGUUAAACAACUCAGUCAAAGGUGUUUAUAGCUGAGUUGGGAUUCAGAUGCGUUAACCAAUGAAAUAGAUCAAGAUUCUCAGCCAGUGUGCAAAGCACUGUAAACUAUGGAGUCAGUCACGUUUUAAGGCUUGGGUUGCCAGAUGUUCACAAAAAUACUAGACUACCAAAAGAGCAAUGAAAAAAACUCUACUCCCCACUCCUAAGUCCAGGACUGAAGUUCAGUUGGAAACUUACCCCAGCUGGUCUUGGAGUCAGAAGAAAUGACAGUACUGCUGCAUUUAGGGAAGAAAAGAGGAGCAAAAAGUAAACAGCCAGAAGCAGAAGAAUUUCAGGAAGCUAUAUAAGGCACUAGAAAAAGCCAGCUACCAUGUCAUGAUCAAUCUUGUGAAGAGGCUCAUGUGGCUGGGAAUGAAGUUUUUCUAACACAGCCUAUGGAGGACUCCUUGAUGCCUCCUUCCAAUGGGCAUGUAGAAUGAGCCAUAUUGAAAACAGAUCCUCCAGCCCCAGUCAAGGUUUCAGCUGACAGCAACCCCAACAGAAAGCUUGACUGAAAUGUCAUGAGAGACCCUAAGCCAGAACAAUUCAGCUAAGUUACUUCCGAAUUCUUGAACUUUAGUACUUGUGUGAGAUAAUAAAUAUUAUUUUAAGCUGCUAAGCAUUCAGACAGAAAUGUAUUGUAUAACAACAGGUAACUGAUACAGACCAUUAUGUUCUCAGAAGGGUCCAUGACCCAAAAGAGGAAUAAGAACCCUGGUAUGCAUAAUGUUCAUAUUUCUAUUAGCAUUUAUCACUGUGUAUCAUUAUUUGCUUGUCAGGUUCCCCUCGAUAUAAGCCACUUCAAAACUACAAAAUUGCGUUCAUCAUUAUAUCUUCAGCACCUACCACAGAGCUGGAAAUAUAAUAGACAGGUUAAAAAAAUAUUUUUUUUUACUAAAUGAAAGUUUACCUUUUAUCUGGAACUUGAUGCAAAUGCUGGCUUAUAGGAAAGAUUCAAGUCACUAGACAACCCUCUUAGGGGCUUUAGAUGCUGUGGCACAUUUACAGAGAAGGACUAGAGAAUUCCAAGGUAUCUGAGAAUUUAAAGUUCUCCUAGUAAAAGAGACAUAGAAAAAUAAUAUGUAGAUGAAAAACAUUGGCAUUGAAAGGAUGAUGGCACUUUCCCUCUCAACAGAAUCUGGACCUAUGCCUUCUAUGAUGUGAGAGUGAGAGAAAAACAACCUACAGUCAUUUUGAGAUGACUGGGUUAUCAGUGAAAAAGGACAUUGGAAAUUAGGUAUGUCCUCAGCCUACUCUGUGUGUGUGUGUGUGUGUGUGUGUGUGUGUGUGUGUAUUUCAGGUGUGUGUGACUGGGAGACAACUAGAAAGUGUUAUGUUUCUGUAAAACUCAACAUCUGGCUUGAAGAAAUUUUUAUGAGAGUCUAUAAAGGCACACAGGGCUUUUGCAUGUAACCAAAGCAUGUAUGCAUUUAAAAAAGGGUUCUUCAUAAUUGUCUAUAGUCAUUGAUUAAGAUAUUUCAUAUCAAUUCUAGUUUAUGAUAAAAAAUAGAUGUGCUUUAUUAUAAAGAAUAUUUCUUCUUUGCUUUCCUUGUUGUUUUGCAAGUGAAAGAACUCUCUCUCUUGCACAAAAAUGACUGAGUGGACCGUCUAGCAAGGGUGACUGUGUAAAGUAUACUGUGCACAAAGAAAAUUACAGAAAUUCCAGAUCAUUCAAAAAUACAAAAUUAAAAGAAACUAGAAGAAAAGAAUAGGUUUAUCAGAAAAGAGCGACCUUACAAGCACCUUUGUCCAUCUACAGUUUUUAUUCAACAGUUGAAUCAAAGUUUACAGUUUUGUAAACAGUCUCGUUUUCUCACACACUUCAGCUGCAUACAGGUUAUUGACACUAGUCACACACAAUCAGCAAUAACAA